rnacentral:rRNA from 1 species
UACGUAGGGUGCAAGCGUUGUCCGGAAUUAUUGGGCGUAAAGGGCGCGUAGGCGGCCUGGCAAGUGGAAGGUGAAAUCCCUCGGCUUAAACCGAGGAACUGCCCUCCAAACUGCUUGGCUUGAGAACCGGGAGAGGUGAGUGGAAUUCCCAGUGUAGCGGUGAAAUGCGUAGAUAUUGGGAGGAACACCAGUGGCGAAGGCGGAGCUCACUGGACCGGUACGUGACGCUGAGGAGCGGAAAGCGAUGGGUAGCGGAACAAGG